rnacentral:rRNA from 1 species
UACAGAGGUCUCGAGCGUUGUUCGGAUUCAUUGGGCGUAAAGGGUGCGUAGGUGGCUAGGUAAGUCGGAUGUGAAAUCUCGGGGCUCAACCCCGAAACUGCAUUCGAUACUGCCUGGCUAGAGUACUGGAGAAGAGAUUGGAAUUUACGGUGUAGCAGUGAAAUGCGUAGAUAUCGUAAGGAAGACCAGUGGCGAAGGCGGAUCUCUGGACAGUUACUGACACUGAGGCACGAAGGCCAGGGGAGCAAACGGG